rnacentral:rRNA from 1 species
UACGUAGGGUGCAAGCGUUAAUCGGAAUUACUGGGCGUAAAGCGUGCGCAGGCGGCUUUGCAAGACAGAUGUGAAAUCCCCGGGCUCAACCCGGGAACUGCGUCCGAUACUGGAAGGCUUGAAUCCGGAAGAGGCGAGUGGAAUUCCUGGUGUAGCGGUGAAAUGCGCAGAUAUCAGGAGGAACACCGAUUGCGAAGGCAGCUCGCUGGGACGUUACUGACGCUGAGACGCGAAAGCGUGGGGAGCAAACAGG